rnacentral:rRNA from 1 species
UACGUAGGGGGCAAGCGUUGUCCGGAAUCAUUGGGCGUAAAGAGCGUGUAGGCGGCCCGGUAAGUCCGCUGUGAAAGUCGGGGGCUCAACCCUCGAAUGCCGGUGGAUACUGUCGGGCUAGAGUGCGGAAGAGGAGAGUGGAAUUCCCGGUGUAGCGGUGAAAUGCGCAGAUAUCGGGAAGAACACCAGUAGCGAAGGCGGCACUCUGGGCCGGUACUGACGCUGAGGAGCGAAAGCGUGGGGAGCGAACAGG